UGAAAGCCACGUGCAUAAAAAUGAAUGUUAAAGAUUUGCUAAAAACUGCGCAUAACAAGCUGCUGCCCAACAUCAACAUGCACUUUGUGCCCAAGCAUGCUGCUAUUGUCAAAUUUGACGCAAAACAUGAUUUUAAUUCAUGACCUUGAGAAAUAGUUGGAAUGCUUAUUCUGAUUAUGGACUGAAAUGUUGCUAAUCUUGGAAGUUAUUUGUUCUUGAACACAUUGCACACUUGGUUCAGUGAAUAUGCUUGGUCAAUAUGAAUGUUUUAGAGUCUGGGCAUGCACUCUGAAUAAUGUCUUUAAAUAGAGAAACCAAAGCAAAUUUUCACAUUGUGCUUUUUAUUGACAUUUCAGGAGCAACACAGUAGGAUGACUAAAGGACGUAACACUUCUGGACGGGAAUUAUAUGUUGAAGAAUUGUUUUGAGAUGUGCAAUAACGAAGAUAUUGGCAUUCUCCUUGCACCAUCAUCUGCGAGCUGCAAAGGCUCUCCACCUAAAGUAUGACAAGGAAGCAGUAGACUCAUCAUUCACGAUGCUUAUUUUAUGUGCUUCCAAGGGAUGCGGCCAAAGGACGACCUGCGGAAUAUUUGUGCGCUCGAUCGGCGCCGCAAUCUCCCGAGCAAAGUUCACCUUUGCUGAAGAUCCAAGCGUAAGAAACUGAAGCAGCAGACGGCUUCAAGCCAUGAUCUGUGCGAAUCACCUUUAUGGGAGCUGCAAAAAAGAAUAAAAAGUGUAUCCCCAGUG